GACGAACGCUGGCGGCGUGCUUAACACAUGCAAGUCGAACGGAAAGGCCCUGCUUUUGUGGGGUGCUCGAGUGGCGAACGGGUGAGUAACACGUGAGUAACCUGCCCUUGACUUUGGGAUAACUUCAGGAAACUGGGGCUAAUACCGGAUAGGAGCUCCUGCUGCAUGGUGGGGGUUGGAAAGUUUCGGCGGUUGGGGAUGGACUCGCGGCUUAUCAGCUUGUUGGUGGGGUAGUGGCUUACCAAGGCUUUGACGGGUAGCCGGCCUGAGAGGGUGACCGGCCAGAUUGGGACUGAGAUACGGCCCAGACUCCUACGGGAGGCAGCAGUGGGAAAUAUUCCACAAUGGGCCGAAGCCUGAUGCAGCAACGCCGCGUGCGGGAUGACGGCCUUCGGGUUGUAAACCGCUUUCGCCUGAGACGAAGCGUGAGUGACGGUAAUGGGUAAAGAAGCACCGGCUAACUACGUG
rnacentral:rRNA from 1 species